rnacentral:lncRNA from 1 species
GAUCUCCUUCUCGGUAGUCUUCUCAAUCCAGAGAGAGAUUGGAUAGCUAAUAAACUCUGAGUGCUUCUUGAUCAGGUCCUUCAGGCGGCGUUCCUCAAGGUACUCAAGUUGGUCUUCCUUGAGGAAGAGGGUAAUUUUUGUGCCCCUACCAAGAUUCUCACCGGAGGCAUCUCUGGUAACAGUAAAUGAUCCUCCAGCCUGGGACUCCCAAACAUACUGUUCAU